rnacentral:rRNA from 1 species
UACGGGGGGGGCAAGCGUUGUUCGGAAUUACUGGGCGUAAAGGGCUUGUAGGUGGCCAACUAAGUCCGACGUGAAAUCCCUAGGCUUAACCUAGGAACUGCGUCGGAUACUGGAUGGCUUGAAUCCGGGAGAGGGAUGCGGAAUUCCAGGUGUAGCGGUGAAAUGCGUAGAUAUCUGGAGGAACACCGGUGGCGAAGGCGGCAUCCUGGACCGGUAUUGACGCUGAGGUGCGAAAGCGUGGGGAGCAAACAGG